GGCAUAUUUCGCGAAGGCGGAGCUCGACCGCCCACAGAAGAAGUAGCUGCCUUUAUUGAUGAACACCGGGAGGUCUACGGAGUCGGGGCUGUUCGCGCGCGUAGCGCGCUG
rfam:Spirochaeta sp. JC230 contig880, whole genome shotgun sequence.